UAAAUACUAAUACCAGAUCGAUAGUGCACAAGUACCGUGAGGGAAAGGUGAAAAGAACUGAGGUGAUCAGAGUGAAAUAGAACCUGAAACCAUUUGCUUACAAUCAUUCAGAGCCCUAUGUAGCAAUACAGGGUGAUGGACUGCCUUUUGCAUAAUGAGCCUGCGAGUUGUGGUGUCUGGCAAGGUUAAGCAAACGCGAAGCCGUAGCGAAAGCGAGUCUGAAUAGGGCGCUUAGUCAGAUGCUGCAGACCCGAAACGAAGUGAUCUAUCCAUGAGCAAGUUGAAGCUAGUGUAAGAACUAGUGGAGGACUGAACCCAUAGGCGUUGAAAAGCCCCGGGAUGACUUGUGGAUAGGGGUGAAAGGCCAAUCAAACUUCGUGAUAGCUGGUUCUCUCCGAAAUAUAUUUAGGUAUAGCGUUGUGUCGUAAUAUAAGGGGGUAGAGCACUGAAUGGGCUAGGGCAUACACCAAUGUACCAAACCCUAUCAAACUCCGAAUACCUUAUAUGUAAUCACAGCAGUCAGGCGGCGAGUGAUAAAAUCCGUCGUCAAGAGGGAAACAACCCAGACUACCAGCUAAGGUCCCUAAAUCUUACUUAAGUGGAAAACGAUGUGAAGUUACUUAAACAACCAGGAGGUUGGCUUAGAAGCAGCCAUCCUUUAAAGAAAGCGUAAUAGCUCACUGGUCUAGUGAUUUUGCGCGGAAAAUAUAACGGGGCUAAAGUAAGUACCGAAGCUGUAGACUUGCGCACAACUUAGAUUAUUUAAGUUUAGAAUAUGAGAAACUAAGUUAUAUGUUUAGUUAUAUUUUUACUGAUUUUUAUAGAGUAAAGAUAGAAAUAAAACUUAGUAAAAUCAGUAAAAAUAUUCUUAGACUAAAGUUAAGUAGUUUAAGUUGUGUGCAAGUGGUAGGAGAGCGUUCUAUUUGCGUCGAAGGUAUACCGGUAAGGAGUGCUGGAGCGAAUAGAAGUGAGCAUGCAGGCAUGAGUAGCGAUAAUUAAUGUGAGAAUCAUUAACGCCGUAAACCCAAGGUUUCCUACGCGAUGCUCGUCAUCGUAGGGUUAGUCGGGUCCUAAGUCGAGUCCGAAAGGGGUAGACGAUGGCAAAUUGGUUAAUAUUCCAAUACCAACAUUAGUGUGCGAUGGAAGGACGCUUAGGGCUAAGGGGGCUAGCGGAUGGAAGUGCUAGUCUAAGGUCGUAGGAGGUUAUACAGGCAAAUCCGUAUAACAAUACUCCGAGAACUGAAAGGCUUUUUGAAGUCUUCGGAUG
rnacentral:rRNA from 1 species